UGAAGGAAGUCAGAACCGGAACUCACACAGGGCUGGAACGGCCCAGGACCACUAGCCCAGGGAUGUGUCUAGACCAACAGAAUAUUCCUGAGGUGACUUUCUAGCCAUUCCCUGGCAUGCAGUAGAACAGAUGCACAGGAGAGGAUCUUUGGGAAGACCCAUGAGGGGGCCGGAGUCAUUAGUAGGAGGCAUCACGGCAGAUCGGAGGUUGCCCAGUGAGCUGAUACUAUGGCCUCCUGACACAUCGCAGAGAGCAUCUUCGGUAAAAUGCUUUUGAAAACUUCCUUAAGCCAUCUGGGAAAAGAGGGG